GAUGAACGCUGGCGGCGUGCCUAAUACAUGCAAGUAGAACGCUGAAGGAAGGAGCUUGCUCUUUCCGGAUGAGUUGCGAACGGGUGAGUAACGCGUAGGUAACCUGCCUGGUAGCGGGGGAUAACUAUUGGAAACGAUAGCUAAUACCGCAUAACAGUAGAUGUUGCAUGAUAUCUACUUAAAAGGUGCAAUUGCACCACUACCAGAUGGACCUGCGUUGUAUUAGCUAGUUGGUGAGGUAACGGCUCACCAAGGCGACGAUACAUAGCCGACCUGAGAGGGUGAUCGGCCACACUUGGACUGAGACACGGCCCAGACUCCUACGGGAGGCAGCAGUAGGGAAUCUUCGGCAAUGGACGGAAGUCUGACCGAGCAACGCCGCGUGAGUGAAGAAGGUUUUCGGAUCGUAAAGCUCUGUUGUAAGAGAAGAACGAGUGUGAGAGUGGAAAGUUCACACUGUGACGGUAUCUGACCAGAAAGGGACGGCUAACUACGUG
rnacentral:rRNA from 1 species